CCUACGGGUGGCAGCAGUGAGGAAUAUUGGUCAAUGGGCGCGAGCCUGAACCAGCCAAGUAGCGUGAAGGAUGACUGCCCUACGGGUUGUAAACUGCUUUUAUAAAGGAAUAAAGUGCGGCACGUGUGCCGUUUUGUAUGUACUUUAUGAAUAAGGAUCGGCUAACUCCGUGCCAGCAGCCGCGGUAAUACGGAGGAUCCGAGCGUUAUCCGGAUUUAUUGGGUUUAAAGGGAGCGUAGAUGGCAUGUUAAGUUAGUUGUGAAAGUUUGCGGCUCAACCGUAGAACUGCAAUUGAUACUGGCAUGCUGGAGUGCAGAUGAGGUAGGCGGAAUUCGUGGUGUAGCGGUGAAAUGCUUAGAUAUCACGAAGAACUCCGAUUGCGAAGGCAGCUUACUAAACUGCCACUGACAUUGAUGCUCGAAAGUGUGGGUAUCAAACAGGAUUAGAUACCCUAGUAGUC
rnacentral:rRNA from 1 species